rnacentral:rRNA from 1 species
ACGCUCGACACCUACGGGAGGCAGCAGUGGGGAAUAUUGCACAAUGGGGGAAACCCUGAUGCAGCGACGCCGCGUGAGCGAUGAAGUAUUUCGGUAUGUAAAGCUCUAUCAGCAGGGAAGAAACUGACGGUACCUGACUAAGAAGCACCGGCUAAAUACGUGCCAGAAGCCGCGGUAAUCUGAGCGGGCUGGCAAGGC